UUAUUCUAGCUGGGUUUUUAGUCUGGAAAAGUAUGAAAUGUGCAUGUUUACUACACCGCUGGGGUGGACUGGAGAUGAAUGGAACAUUCUGUGAGCAUGUACAGAUGGAACUUCACAGAAACAAAAGCAGCAACACGAAGCCAGAGCACAUCAGUAAUUUUAGCACCAUGGUGCAGUGCACUGAGAAAGGACUCUAAACUUCACCCUGGAGCUGGUGCCAUCCAAGCACUCUGCUGUAGCUCAUAUUCUCUUUUAUGCUCACCCUCCUGCCACCAGACUAGGCAAGGCUUAGGUUUAUCCCAGUUCCUAGAAUUCACAGCUACAGAAAGGAGCUGCCAAAGCAUGGAAGAUGCAAUCCUUGAAAUGGACACAUUUAAGAUUGUAGAUUGGUCAAGUACCUGGAGAGCCCAAGAGAACUACAGCUCACUCCUGCUUUUCAAAUGGAAAAGCACUAUUCAAAAAUUAAUGCAUUUACUCUCAACACCAUGUGAGGUAGUACUUUACAAAUGGAAAAACUGAAUACAAGAAUGUAGACAGAGUAAGGGAACACAAUACAGUGCAAAAUCAGGAGCAAAAUGCAAGCUGUUUCAUCAAAUUCCAGUUUGAUGAGUGAAAUCGUAUUUACCUUUAGAAAGCCCUUGAAGAUAUUGAAUAAAACCAAAACCAAGCUUUGAAAACACACAGUACUUUGUACCAAAAUAUGUUAAGUAGCAUAACUUGCUAAAUAGUAUAUAAACCAGCUAGAACUAUGUAUAUUAGUACAAAUGAAGAAGUGAAAUCUAAAGGGAUUAAAGUAUUAGCACCCUACAGUAAGUUUAUUACAUUAUGUUUUAUCCUGAGGCAUGUGAUUCAGAGUAGCUACACAAAAGUGGUUUUAUACCUUUUUUCCUCAUCCUCUUCACAAUUCCAUCACCAUUACUCUGCCCCCACCCCAAAUCAUUCCUUUCUACAGCCUCUUCCCAAUAUUUUAUAUUUGCUCAACAAUUUUAAAGUCGUUUACUCCUACUGUAUAAAUAACUCCCAGGUCACUCCCACAGAGUUUCAUGAUGACAAUGUUCCAAUUAAUCACAUUCUUUUCAUAAAUCCAUACUAAAAUAGGCCAAAACCAGUACUGCCAGUUCAGAUCCAGUUUACUUGUGGAGUUUUUUUGGGGAUUUAAGAAAACAUGUAGUAAUAUCAGAAAUGACAAAUUCAAGUCAGUCAAUACUGCCAUCCUAAUUACAAAGUGUAAUACUUUAGAAUCCUAAAAUCAAGAACCAUAGAAACAAAGAAAUAAAGUUUUUUGUUGGUAACAGUUGUCUCAACAAAACAAAUUGUGCAGAAAAGGUACUGGUCUUCCAAGAAGAGUUUGCUUGCUUUUAAUUCUUGUACUUGAACAAUCACUGCAGUCUUUUGUUACUCAAAAAAACUGUAUGAAUUAAUGAAAAUAAGCAAUAUUUUAUUUCAAUGCCAGAUUUAUGGUUUGUGUGUUACACUGGGGCUGGUUUGACUGAUAUUAAACAGAUAUGUCUGAAACACAAAGUAACAUAAAUUAGACAUGCCAUGAGACAUGUACAAUUAAUUUCUACUAAAAUGUGGAUAAUGAAACCCAUUUCUAUGCCAAUUCUUUUACACUUUUAAUGGUGAUAGUGACUAGUAUUUUAGUAAGAGGGUAAAAGUCAAUAAAAGGUAUGAGGACAGCCAUACAACUCAAAGAUACUGUUUGCACAGCUUCCAAUUCCACUGUGAAAAUACACCCCUCCAAAAUAGAAAUAGGCACUUCAUCUUUAAAAAUGAAGCACUCUUUUGUUCUUCAGUCAUCAUCAACAGUUGGCUUGAUUGUCAC